rnacentral:rRNA from 1 species
GAUGAACGCUAGCUACAGGCUUAACACAUGCAAGUCGAGGGGAAACGAUAUUGGAAGCUUGCUUCCGAUAGGCGUCGACCGGCGCACGGGUGAAUAACGCGUAUCCAACCUGCCAAUCACUUGGGGAUAACCUUGCGAAAGUAAGACUAAUACCCAAUGAUAUCUCUAGAAGACAUCUGAAGGAGAUUAAAGAUUCAUCGGUGAUGGAUGGGGAUGCGUCUGAUUAGCUUGUUGGCGGGGUAACGGCCCACCAAGGCGACGAUCAGUAGGGGUUCUGAGAGGAAGGUCCCCCACAUUGGAACUGAGACACGGUCCAAACUCCUACGGGAGGCAGCAGUGAGGAAUAUUGGUCAAUGGACGAGAGUCUGAACCAGCCAAGUAGCGUGCAGGAUGACGGCCCUAUGGGUUGUAAACUGCUUUUAUAAGGGAAUAAAGUGAGUCUCGUGAGACUUUUUGCAUGUACCUUAUGAAUAAGGACCGGCUAAUUCCGUGCCAGCAGCCGCCGCAG